rnacentral:rRNA from 1 species
GGCGCAUGGUGGAUGCCUUGGCAUCAGAGGCCGAUGAAGGACGUGGGAGGCUGCGAUAUGCCUCGGGGAGCUGCCAACCGAGCGUUGAUCCGAGGGUGUCCGAAUGGGGAAACCCAGCGCCCGUCAUGGGGCGUUACCCGUACCUGAAUUCAUAGGGUGCGUGGAGGGAACGUGGGGAAGUGAAACAUCUCAGUACCCGUAGGAAGAGAAAACAAUAGUGAUUCCGUGAGUAGUGGCGAGCGAAAGCGGAAGAGGCUAAACCGUGUCCGUGUCAAGCCGGCAGGCGUUGCGGGUGCGGGGUUGUGAGACGUGUCGUUCAUCUUCUGCCGAGGGUGGGACAGCAAGUGCCUGUGUUAGCGGAACGACUCUGGGAUGGUCGGCCGUAGUGGGUGAUAGCCCCGUACGCGAAAACACUGGGUUCUGUUGUGGGCGUGUUCUCGAGUAGCAGCGAGCCCGUGAAAUUCGCUGUGAAUCUGGCGGGACCACCCGUCAAGCCUAAAUACUACCUGAUGACCGAUAGCGGACAAGUACCGUGAGGGAAAGGUGAAAAGUACCCCGGGAGGGGAGUGAAAUAGUACCUGAAACCGUGUGCCUACAAGCCGUCAGAGCCCUCCUUCGUGGUGGGGUGAUGGCGUGCCUUUUGAAGAAUGAGCCUGCGAGUUAGUGAUGCGUGGCGAGGUUAACCCGUGGUGGGGGAGUCGUAGCGAAAGCGAGUCCGAUAAGGGCGUGAGUCGCGUGUUCUAGACCCGAAGCGGUGUGAUCUAUCCAUGG